AAAGUUUGACAGACAAUCGCUGGUGGCUUCGCGCCACGAGAGGAAAGUCCGGGCUCCGCAGGGCAGAAUGCUGGAUAACGUCCAGUCAACGCGAGUUGAAGGAUCAGGGCCACAGAAAUGGACCGCCGAUGAUCUCUAAUCGCCCAAUUUGUUUUUGGGGUCCCCGCAAAGUAAUCGGCAUAAGCUUCGAAAGCUUAACGUCACUUUGUGGGGUAGAGAAACAGGCAAGGAUGGAACCGUGGUGUAAGAGACCACGAGGAGCACUGGCGACUUUGCUCCUGGUAAACCCCAUUUGGAGCAAGACCUAGGAGGACGCAGGCGUUAAGCCAGCCCUAGCCCGGGGUGCGUUCGGGUUGGUCGCUUGAGCCGUAUAGCAAUGUGCGGCCUAGAAAGAUGAUUGUCGCUUCAGUUCGUGGGAGGCUUGCUUCGCGCAGGCCGUUAUGACCACUUGAAGUACAGAACCCGGCUUACGGCAAGCUUUCCGG
rnacentral:RNase_P_RNA from 1 species